UCAGAGUUUUUAAUUUCACACCUAGGGUUAAGCUCACGCCGCCUCUACCGUCUCUCUUACUCAAGCCCUCGUCUCAACCUCUCAUCUUACAAGUUACCGGAGUUCAAUCGAUCUCCCUUCUCAAUCUACAGUCUCUCUUCUUCUCCAAAAUCUCUCAAUCUCCAAUCGUCUCUCCUUCUUAGAAGUCUCCGAUCGUCGCUUAGGAGAUUCGGCCGUGUUUCAAUUUUUUCCAUCUCCUUCUUUCUUUCGUUAUCCGUGUUUCAAUUUUUUAGGUUUCAGAAGAAGAUAUGGGAGAACCAAUUUGCAUGACUUUGGUCGUUGCCGUCGGUAACAAAAUACUUCAGAAGAAGGGAACCGUCAUUUUCUUUUUCACAUUUUUUAGGUCAUUUAAUUUCAUCCGAUUCGUUUUUUAUUCUUCCUUGAGUUGUUUGAUCGCUAGUAGUAUAGUGUUUCUUUGAUUCUCAAUUUUUUGGAUUUCAUUAAGGAAGCAUGAGAGAUUGAAUUUGCUUUAUGAAUUGGGUUUGGAAGUUGGGAAAGCUAGCAAUUCCGAUGGAUUUAAAAGCCUUGAAACCCUACCUAGUUCAACUAUUGCCGCGACUGUCACUGAACCAUCUAGUUCCAAGUUACUAUUGCGUUUUUUCGCUGAUUUGUGUGCUUUGGUUAUCUCUCUUUGUAUUUUUCAAUUAUAAUGUUUGUUGGAUAUUAGAGCUCUGUUUGAGGAUGAGCCUCAUUCUGCCAAUGAUGCAUGUAGGAAACUCCAUUCUGAUGCUUUGCUCAUCAUUUAACACCAUGAGAAUAAGCUCUUGCUCGCGUAAAAAACAAUCCUAUGGCUAUGAUUUGCAAAACCGUAACUAGUUUUUAAUCUCCUUUUAUGGCUUUAACCCCACUAAACCUUACAAGAUUUAUUCUUAUAACAUGGGCUAUGGAAAUUUUAUGUGGAAACAUCUUUCUUCCUUUCAUUAUUUUGUAGAGAGAUUUUUUGAACUUUUCUCUUAGUUUGUUCAUGGACACUUUACUUGGUGGCCUAUCUAAAUACUAAGUUAUUCUUUUGAGCUGAUGUGAUGAAUUUCUCUGCAUUUCUCUUACUCUUUUGAUAGAAGCUAAAGAUGAAUCUUUGAUCAGAAAGUUUUUCUCUAUAUUAUUGCUGAGACAAUCUUGGCAUAGAGUAAAUGCUUAUCAACAUUAUUUAAUCUAUCAUUGAUUUUUGUUGUAGAGAUUAAAGUUAUCCAUAUCCAAAGUAGAUUAGAAGACAAGAAAGUAAUGGUCAUUUAGUAAAUAUUUUAGUCUGAAAUGGACAAGCUAAAGUAGGGAAUACAGUUAUAUUGAAGGAAGGUAGAUUUCAAUAAUGUAUUGAACAAAAACUGAGAAAUGAUAGAUUUCUAGGAUUUCUCAAGUUCAUAAUGGAUUUCUAGGAUUUUCUCCAACAAUUUUCAAUAAAUAAACCAUCAAAUCACCAACAAUUUUCUUUUGCAUUUUCUAACACUAACUCUGCUGAAAACAAGGAACCUGACCAAUCCCUUUACAUUUUUCUAUUACCCAUUUCUUCUCAAUUUUUAAGUAUAAAACUGCAUUCUAGGUGUUUGUAUAAAUGUUGCACUGGUGGAGUUUUGGGUUUUGGGUUUUGUUUCUUAUGUGCUUAUUGGUUGAGACUUUUUGUGUUUUUGGUUUGAUUUUGAUCUUUAAUUCUAAUGGUAAAUUGAUCUUAUAGUAUUGAAAGAUUUGGGGUAUUUAAUCUUAUAGUGUUGAAUAUAGUUGUGUUUAUUGAUACGUGAUUAUAUGUAGGUGUUGGAUGAUGUAUAUUUGUUGUAGUUCUAUAUGGAAGUGUUGAAAAUUGUAUGCUGGUAUUUUAAGUGUUGAUCUUGUGUGCAUUUCAGGUGAAAUAGAAAUAUAAGGUUUGCCACGAAGCGUAACAUUUACGAAAUUGUGCUUUCUUUGGUUUUUGGCUUUUGGUUUUUGCUUCGUCUUUGUGCAAUCUACUUGGCAGCUUGAAAGGUGGAAAUGACCAUAUAGAUAGAUGGUCAGACGAUCGUUGAAGGUUGAAGACUGAAAAGGCGUUUGGUCGUGGGAGACAAUGUCCAGAGAACACGCCAUGCGUUUUCCCUUUGUUGGGAGUGCAAUGCUAUUAUGCAAUGGAUGGGAAAAUGGAAGAGAUGAUUUUUAUGUAGAAGAUCAGGAAACUCAUUCCACUAUGCUAGAUAAACUACUGGCAUGGGAAAAGAAGUUAUAUGAUGAAGUGAAGUUUACAUGCUUCAGGAGCAGGAACCACAUGCGGCAGAGUUUGAGCGCACGUUUAUAGCCAUCAAGCCAGAUGGUGCACAGAGAGGGCUGGGAGCUAUCACUAAACAAAUGACUGCAAUAGAAGAAAUGGUUGCAAGUGAGUACAAUUAGCCAGACCCUCAUCUUUGUGACAAGAUCUUGAAGUUGGUCAUUUGUGAACCGUUCUAGUUUGCUAUUAGUUACAGUUUUAGUUAUUGCUCUCUCAAUAUAUUCUUUUUCUUUCUUUCUUUCUUUUUUUUUCCAAAGGAUGAUCAGUAUAAUAAUUAAGCUUCAUAAUUUCUUUGUUUUUGGAGCCAAGUUGUAUAUAAAUGUACACAUUAUUAAGAUUUCAUUUUGUAUAUGUACACGUAAAAGAUUUCAUUUUUAA